GUUUACAGUCUAGAGGGGGAGACCGGGAUCGUUAUGAAUAAAUGAAUAAUUCCAAAAGCCGCUUGGCAGGGGAAGCCGUAGCUGUGUUGACCGGAAAAAAGGUAGGACUUGGCUCCAGCCCUGAGUGGAACAAGCAAGAAUCCGGCCUGUGACUUCCUUCAACGAGAGCACGCGAUCGCCCAGUACAGUCCUCGGCACACGGCAGUGACUCCUUAAAUUCUUGGCUGGGAUUUGGAAGCCGAUCAUUUCCGCGGAGGAUUUUUCAAAGGGAAGAAAAAGCGCAGAGAAUCGCGAACCCAAAAUCCGUCGCGAAGGCGUUUAAUGAGAGACGUCGCUACCAUGAUAAUCAAGACAAAGUGGAGCCACGGCCGAUGGGAUCGGUUAAUAACCGUGAACGUGCCUAGCCCUCGGAAACCAUCAAGAAGGAUCGUCGUCACGCUCAUCACCAUCCCGAGACGACGCCUACGCUAAAACGAAGCGGGCGGUUCGGACUGUGACGAUCUGUAAAUCGGGAAGGGACGAUACUGAGAACGAUUUAUGAUCCGUGCAUCAGUAUGACCUUAAAGGCUCUCGGAGUACAGCACGACUGGUUAUGUUCCGUAAAAAGCCCGGCGCUUAGACGCGUCACGCAACUGCAUUUCGGCGGGUCGGAAGGCAUUUACUUUGUCCAGAUUCCGCAGGAUUCAGGCGAUGACGAUAAUAAUGACAAUUUAAUAA